GUUAGGUGUGGUGGCACACACCUGUAAUCCCAGCCUCUAGGGAAACUGAGGCAGGAGGAUUGCAAGUUCAAGGCUAGUAAGGGCAAUUUUGCAAGAUCCUGUCUCAA
rnacentral:sRNA from 1 species